rnacentral:rRNA from 1 species
CCUACGGGUGGCAGCAGUGGGGAAUAUUGCACAAUGGGGGAAACCCUGAUGCAGCGACGCCGCGUGAGUGAUGAAGUAUUUCGGUAUGUAAAGCUCUAUCAGCAGGGAAGAUAAUGACGGUACUUGACUAAGAAGCUCCGGCUAAAUACGUGCCAGCAGCCGCGGUAAUACGUAUGGAGCAAGCGUUAUCCGGAUUUACUGGGUGUAAAGGGAGCGCAGACGGCAGGGCAAGUCUGAUGUGAAAGUCCGGGGCCCAACCCCGGGACUGCACGGGAAACUGCCUGGCUGGAGUACAGGAGAGGUAAGUGGAAUUCCUAGUGUAGCGGUGAAAUGCGUAGAUAUUAGGAGGAACACCAGUGGCGAAGGCGGCUUACUGGACUGUAACUGACGUUGAGGCUCGAAAGCGUGGGGAGCAAACAGGAUUAGAUACCCCUGUAGUC